CACAUCAGGUUUUGAAAUACCUA
rnacentral:siRNA from 1 species